UUGACCUCGGAUCAGGUAGGAAUACCCGCUGAACUUAAGCAUAUCAUAAUCGGAGGAAA
rnacentral:rRNA from 1 species